rnacentral:rRNA from 1 species
AUUGAACGCUAGCGGCAUGCCUUACACAUGCAAGUCGAACGGCAGCACGAACUUCGGUUUGGUGGCGAGUGGCGAACGGGUGAGUAAAGCAUCGGAACGUGCCUAGUAGUGGGGGAUAACUAUUCGAAAGAGUAGCUAAUACCGCAUACGAUCUAAGGAUGAAAGUGGGGGAUCUUCGGACCUCAUGCUAUUAGAGCGGCCGAUGUCAGAUUAGCUAGUUGGUGAGGUAAAAGCUCACCAAGGCGACGAUCUGUAGCUGGUCUGAGAGGACGACCAGCCACACUGGGACUGAGACACGGCCCAGACUCCUACGGGAGGCAGCAGUGGGGAAUUUUGGACAAUGGGCGAAAGCCUGAUCCAGCAAUGCCGCGUGUGUGAAGAAGGCCUUCGGGUUGUAAAGCACUUUUGUUCGGGAAGAAAAGGUUUGUGUUAAUACCAUAAGCUGAUGACGGUACCGAAAGAAUAAGCACCGGCUAACUACGUGCCAGCAGCCGCGGUAA